GUUCAUUGACAGGAGCUCAGAGGGGACAUGGGGUCACAUCCCAGGGAGCUGCAGGCCGGUUCACACGGUACCGAGUUAAUACCAAAUGUGCAACAAUCACCUCACAAAUCAGAAUGCAACAAAAGCCAAAGUUGUGACAUUUUUUUUCUGUUCAUAUUCGCAAGGAUGGAUUGAGCUGUGUCAUGGAAACUGCCUUUGCAAUGGGCACGAGGAGCCAGUACAAUGAUUGACAGAGGGGAGACGUAUGAGUGGAGCGACAGGGAAAAAAAUAAGCCUCGCAUCAACUUUCAUUAUGGACUGUAAAAAGGCAGUAUUGUUUCUGAAGAGACCAUUUAGGAACAAAUUAAAAUAAUCAAUGCAAGACAUUUUAAGAGCAUGAAGAAUAAACCAAGUCGCAUUUUGGAUGACAGUCAUGGAAAAACUGGCUGAAAAACUAUUGGACCCAUGGUGAUUCUUCACUGAAGCACGGGCCACGGGAUUCCACCAUUCUUUAAAUCAGACUAUUGUACAGUUUUGAAACUUGUUAAUGAAGAGUGCUUUAACAGCUUGGAUAUUGAAUGCUGCAAACUCCCACACUCCUUAAUCCGAUUUCCUAUACUUUGUUCUCUGUAACUCGUUCAUGACCAGAAGUCUAUAAUCCUGUCGUGUUUUCCUGAUGGCUUGUUGCAGGUUUGGUAUAUAUUCAAGUGUUUGUGUUUUUGUUUAGUGUUUUUGUCAAUUCCCAUUCUAUAUAUUUGUAGCUUUUACACGUAGUGUAAAAAUGGAGUUUGCCUCUAUAUUUGAGAACUUUAGUGUCAGUCAGUUCUAAACUAAGAUCUGUUUUUAUUACCCAUUAUGAUCCCACAUUUUGGGCUAAUUUGCUCCCUCCGAGUAGUACAGAAGCCCCCAGUGGGGUGAAUCUGACUGAAACUAAUAUGUAUUUAUGUACAGUACAAUGCAAACCAUUCAUUUCAAGCAUUGUACUAUGUAGCUUAUUUAAUGAAUGCUAUGAAAUGAGAUUAGCUCAUUAAUUUGGAAUUUAAAUACAAAUGAAGACUAUUUAAAAUAAAAAUACAAAAGGGGGUAAUAUUACCAUUGGUGGAUGGUUUCCAGCAUUUCCUUGUCCUACAUACAAGUGUUAGAAAAGACACAUGCCCUGACAGAAGAAAUAUCCUCCCGGGCAUGGUUGAGUAGAACGUUUAGUUCUGCUUGGAAUACAGU